rnacentral:rRNA from 1 species
AUUACCGAGUUAUACAACUCCCAAACCCAUGUGAACUUACCUGUCGUUGCUUCGGCGGACCGCCCCGGGGCCCAUCGGCCCCGGACCCACGGCGCCCGCCGGGGGCUCGAAAGACUCUUGUUUUUUUCUACGCAGACUUCUGAGUGGCAUUUAUUACAAAUAAAUCAAAACUUUCAACAACGGAUCUCUUGGUUCUGGCAUCGAUGAAGAACGCAGCGAAAUGCGAUAAGUAGUGUGAAUUGCAGAAUUCAGUGAAUCAUCGAAUCUUUGAACGCACAUUGCGCCCGCCAGCUAUUCUGGCGGGCAUGCCUGUUCGAGCGUCAUUUCAACCCUCAAGCCCCAGCGGCUUGGUGUUGGCGCGCGGCCGGACCCAGUGCCCGGCCGCCGCCGAAAUGCAGGGGCGGUCGCCUCGCGGCAACCAUUACGCAGUAGUAACAUCUCGUAACUGGGACGCGGAGCGGCCACGCCUAACAAACUCCAUUUUCUUAGAGUUGACCUCGGAUCAGGUAGGGAUACCCGCUGAACUUAAGCAUAUCAAUAAGCGGAGGAAAAGAAACCAACAGGGAUUGCCUCAGUAACGGCGAGUGAAGCGGCAACAGCUCAAAUUUGAAAUCUGGCCCUCGGGUCCGAGUUGUAAUUUGUAGAGGAUGCUUCUGGCGCGGUGCCUUCCGAGUUCCCUGGAACGGGACGCCAUAGAGGGUGAGAGCCCCGUCUGGUUGGACGCCUAGCCUCUGUGAAGCUCCUUCGACGAGUCGAGUAGUUUGGGAAUGCUGCUCUAA